UUAUGAUUAUGUAAUGGCUUAUGAGCCUGAGAUGGAAUCCAGACAUGUCUGUGGAAGAGGGAAGGGUUGGACUCUGGCGGGUGUAUUUCCACAAGAGGCUGAGGGCAUCGUGGGAGGUGCCCACCCUAAGCUGCGAAGAGCCAGGGAGUACAACAAUGUCCUCUCAGUAGGAGGACCUGUGAGAGAAGACUGUGAAGAGACUGGUCUAACUGAAGCAUGGGUCUGGCUCAGGUUUUCAAGCCAGCUAUGGCCUUCUCUGGUAUUCAAAGAGUGCUGGCCACCAUGUGCCAGGCCAUCUGCCAGUAAAGAAGUGAAGAGCCAGUCCUCCUGCUUCCCAGGCAGAGGAUGAUGGCGUGCUUUCUCUUGCCACACCCGAUGUCAUGCCUGAUGGAUCUCACCAAGACUUAAGAGCCAAGCAUCCCCAGACAGCUAACACUAAGUAAAAACCAGGUUUCUUAUGAAGAAGCAAACUGGUAAGACAAAAAUGAAGAUGUGUGUUGGAACUUCACUCAACAGCAUGAAUGACUUCCAAAAUGAUUCUUGUGACUAAGGUUGGAGACACAUUAUUUCUGUCCUCAUAGGACUCAUAGUCUCAUGGGAGAGAAGAUAUAUAAAGACCUAUGACAAUGGGAUAAUGACUCUGAUGGAAACAGAAGGAAAGGGAGUCCCAUGGGAGCCUAUCGCUUCCCACUUGAUCAGGAGGGCACAGCGAAAAUGUAAUGCUGGGCAUGUCAUUUAACCUCUAGGAUCACAGUUCUUCACCUGCUAAACAAGGGAGCUAGAAGAUGGUAUUUAAACUUGGCUGAGUCUAUGUACCUUUGGAUCUCUGGAUGUACUCCCAACAAGACGUGCCCUGCAAUAUUAUGCUAUGAGAAAGUCUAUUCAGUUAAAAAAGCUGAUGGUGAUACACACCCUACAAAUAGCUUAGUAACAAAAGCAAAACAUAACAGUGACAGCUGAUAUCACCUUACUAGGAUUGUAAACGAUAAAAUUCUCAACGGAUGCAUCAUACGCUCAAUCAAGUUUCCCAAUCAGUCCUCUGUGAAGCACUCUUCUGUAAAUAUGAGUGUUGUAUUCUGUACAUUAAGUCAACAUGGAUCCUAUUUCCAGUUAUAGGUUAACAUUGCUGUUUCCAAAAGUACUGAUAAUCAGCACGGCACUCAAGGAAAAUACAGCCAUUGACAUGGAUGUCACGAAUUUGAAUGAAACGAUGCGCAUCUGUUUCUGAGUAAUUUCUGAGAACCAAUGAUAAAGAAUACAUUUUAAGGGGCGCCUGGGUGGCUCAGUGGGUUAAAGCCUCUGCCUUCGGCUCAGGUCAUGAUCUCAGGGUCCUGGGAUCGAGUCCCACAUCGGGCUCUCUGCUCAGCAGGGAGCCUGCUUCCUCCUCUCUCUCUCUGCUUGCCUCUCUGCCUACUUGUGAUC